rnacentral:rRNA from 1 species
AAGCGGCAACAGCUCAAAUUUGAAAGCUGGCUCCGGCCCGCAUUGUAAUUUGCAGAGGAUGCUUUUGGUGAGGUGCCUUCCGAGUUCCCUGGAACGGGACGCCAUAGAGGGUGAGAGCCCCGUAUGGAUGGACACCAAACCUGUGUAAAGCUCCUUCAACGAGUCGAGUAGUUUGGGAAUGCUGCUCAAAAUGGGAGGUAAAUCUCUUCUAAAGCUAAAUACCGGCCAGAGACCGAUAGCGCACAAGUAGAGUGAUCGAAAGAUGAAAAGCACCUUGAAAAGGGGGUUAAACAGUACGUGAAAUUGUUAAAAGGGAAGCGCUUGUGACCAGACUUGCGCCGGGCAGCUCAUCAGGGGUUCUCCCCUGUGCACUCUGCCCGGCUCAGGCCAGCAUCGGUUCUCGUGGGAGGAUAAGAACAGUAGGAAUGUGGCCCCCUCUCGGGGGGGUGUUAUAGCCUAUUGUACGAUACUCUCGUGGGGACCGAGGUUCGCGCUCCGCAAGGAUGCUGGCGUAAUGGUCAUCAGCGACCCGUCUUGAAACACGGACCAAGGAGUCGUCCAUUAGAGCGAGCGUUUGGGUGUAAAACCCGCACGCGUAAUGAAAGUGAACGCAGGUGAGAGCUUCGGCGCAUCAUCGACCGAUCCUGAUG